ensembl:lncRNA
GACACGCCGAGUGAGGCCUGAAACACACAGAGAGACACGCCGAGUGAGGCCUGAAACACACAGAGAGAGACGCCGAGUGAGGCCUGAAACACACAGAGAGACACGCCGAGUGAGGCCUGAAACACACAGAGAGACGCCGAGUGAGGCCUGAAACACACAGAGAGACACGCCGAGUGAGGCCUGAAACACACAGAGAGACACGCCGAGUGAGGCCUGAAACACACAGAGAGACGCCGAGUGAGGCCUGAAACACACAGAGAAACACGCCGAGUGAGGCCUGAAACACACAGAGAGAGAGAGACGCCGAGUGAGGCCUGAAACACACAGAGAGAGACGCCGAGUGAGGCCUGAAACACACAGAGAGAGAGAGACGCCGAGUGAGGCCUGAAACACACAGAGACAGACGCCGAGCGAACCUUGCGUGUGAUUGCGUAGUGCCCCUUCAUGGCGUUGAGGCUCCAUUUGAUGUCCUGACAGGAAAUCAUCCUGAAGUCUCCCAUCAAGAGGUCAGCUGCCUGCAUCGCCGCCUCAGAACCCACCUGACCUAACGACCCGUAGUCAAACAGGUCCUCUGCAGACUACAGAGAGAGAGAGAGAGAGACAGGGCUAACACUAGGGACAGGGCGUUUCAACAGAGAGACAGGACUAACACUAGGGACAGGGCGUUUCAACAGAGAGACAGGACUAACACUAGGGACAGGGCGUUUCAACAGAGAGACAGGACUAACACUAGGGACAGGGCGUUUCAACAGAGAGACAG